rnacentral:rRNA from 1 species
UACGUAGGCAGCGAGCGUUGUUCGGAAUUACUGGGCGUAAAGAGUGUGUAGGCGGUGCUCUAAGUUCGGUGUGAAAUCUCCUGCUUAACUGGGAGGGUGCGCCGGAAACUGGAGUGCUUGAGCGUGGGAGAGGAAAGCGGAAUUCCUGGUGUAGCGGUGAAAUGCGUAGAUAUCGUGAGGAAGACCAGUGGCGAAGGCGGGUCUCUGGACAGUUCCUGACACUUGAGGCACGAAGGCUAGGAGAGCAA